UACGAAGGGUGCAAGCGUUAAUCGGAAUGAUUGGGCGUAAAGCGUCCGCAGGUGGCAGUUCAAGUCUGCUGUCAAAGACCGGGGCUUAACUUCGGAAAGGCAGUGGAAACUGAACAGCUAGAGUAUGGUAGGGGCAGAGGGAAUUCCUGGUGUAGCGGUGAAAUGCGUAGAGAUCAGGAAGAACAUCGGUGGCGAAGGCGCUCUGCUGGACCAUAACUGACACUCAGGGACGAAAGCUAGGGGAGCGAAUGGG
rnacentral:rRNA from 1 species